rnacentral:rRNA from 1 species
UGCCUAACACAUGCAAGUCGAGGGGCUCUUCGGAGUCACUGGCGCACGGGUGAGUAACACGUAGGUCAUCUACCCCUAUCACAGACAUAACCCCGGGAAACCGGGGCUAAUAUCUGAUGAGGUCGCGAGAUCAAAGCUUCGGCGGAUAGGGAUGAGCCUGCGGCUGAUUAGCUAGUUGGUGAGGUAAUGGCUCACCAAGGCGACGAUCAGUAGCUGGUCUGAGAGGACGAACAGCCACACUGGAACUGAGACACGGUCCAGACUCCUACGGGAGGCAGCAGUGAGGAAUAUUGGUCAAUGGGAGCAAUCCUGAACCAGCAAUGCCGCGUGUGGGAUGAAGGCGCUUCGCGUCUAAACCAC